CCGGCUCUCUUCAGUGGACUUUAGCAACUAAAAGCUCUGUUGCGAAGUUCGCAGCUGUAUCCAACAUAGAUGGACCUGGUAUAGUUGGCAUGAAUCUGGCCGAGACCACCACGCAAGACAAGCAAAAGUCUUCCCAGGGCACCCCUGAUAAAGUGGACGCUGGAACUGCGGUUGGUAUUACAUUUGGCGUUACGGCUUUUGUCGGAUUAGCCAUCGCUGUCAUGGUGAUCGGCAAGCGCCGGCACAAGAGCGUUCACAGGGACAGCAGGGGUUUGAUGGAGCCGCUGAAUUCGUGCGUUGGAUAUGGCACUACCAACGAUGCAGGCAGCGUACGAAUUUGAUUAUAAAGCUUGAUAAUUAUAUUGAACUUUGAUACACUUCGCCUUUUUCUUAUUACUUUAAUGACGCGCGUAAUGAGAGUGCGCUUACUUGGUAACGGGGUUAUUGUUUUAUUUAGUGUCGUCCUUUUCGAUUUUAUUUUCGGAGUGAGCUCGUCGGUACAAUUCUUUUGUAAUGUGUUCCUUGCUGUAAAACAAAAAGCUAUGUUUCUUCGUAAAACAUAAAUUGGAACUAAACAGAAUACUUAUCCAUGGCAAUUUCCUUUUAGAAGUAAGCCUUUGCAACUGAGUCGAUUUGUUUUGUGAUAUAUCGGCAAUUACAUACAUACAUACAUACUUUAUUGUUACCUCCCCAAUGGGGCUUUUCAGGAAUUAAUUAUUAAUUAUUAAUUAACUUUAAAUUUUUUUUAUCUUUAUUACUAGGUGUAGGUUUUUGAUUGAAUUGUAUUUUGCUUAUAGAGAGCCACAAGUUUAAAUAAACAAAAUAGAAUGAAAUAAAAUAAAGUCCCUUACUUACUUACUUUA